UGAUAUACAGUUUUAGGCUACGUUCACACUGUAGCCCAAAGUGACCCAAUUCCGAUUUUUUGUCAAAUCAGAUUUUUUUGGCGUGG